GUCCUGCGGAUGCAGGAGGCGAACGGGGCAGCGCGGCGCGUUCCGCUCCAGCAGCGGCCCGCAGCCCCGGCGCCCCUCACCGCUGAGGGGCUGCCCUCGCCCCUCUGCCCCCCUUCCCACCCCCCUCCUCGGCCAGGCCUCGCUCCCCGGCGCGGGGCCCCCUCGUUCCCCCUCCGCCGCGCGCGGCCCCCGCAGCCCGCCGGCGGCAGCUGCCUCGCCUCGCGCACCUGGGCGCCAGGUGAGGGCGGGGCCGCGCGCAGGCGCAGGGCCACCCGCCCGCGCGCACCUGGCUGCCGCCGAGCGGAAGGCGCCGCCGCCGCUGCAGCCUCAGCCCCAGCAGCCUCAGCCCCAGCUGCCGCUGCAACCUCCUCGCGCCGUGGGCGGCCUCCGGCCGGGCGGGCGCGGUGUGGAGCGGAGCGUCGCGUGCUCCCCUCACCGGCAGCCGCGCAGCAUCUGCCUCCCGCCGGACAAGGUAUUAUAAUUUCAAGAAAUGCUGUGACCUACUUGAAGAACAUCAUUCACAGGAACUUUUGUGAUAAUUAUUUAAAACUAGAAUGGCUUUGAAAAAAACACCUAAACUAUUCAAGAAAUUUUUUUUUCACUGGAAACUUUGGAAGUUUAGCAUCAUUGUAUUUGUCUUUCUGGUAUUUUUAUUUUUAUUACAAAAAGAAGUGGGUGUUCAAGAUUUUAAAGAUGAAGCAGGGAUUGAGCCAGUUGUUGGAAAGAAAAGUCACGUGUUAGGUCUUGUGUUAAAUGCUAUGAACAAUAUCAAAGGUGCAAAGCCAAAAAUGCAGAUAAAAGCACCUGUUAGGCAAACUAAGAUUCCUGGAGAGAGACACUGUUUGCCAGGAUACUACACUGCAGUGGAACUAAAACCCUUUCUAGAUCGGCCCCUUCAAGAUCCUAAUGCACCUGGAGCUUCUGGUAAAGCAUUUAAAACCAUCAGCUUAAAUUCAGAAGAACAGAAAGAAAAACAGCGUGGAGAAGAAAAACACUGUUUUAAUGCAUUUGCAAGUGAUAGGAUUUCUUUGCACCGAGAUCUUGGACCAGACACUCGACCUCCUGAAUGUAUUGAACAAAAGUUUAAGCGCUGCCCACCGUUGCCAACCACAAGUAUUGUAAUAGUUUUUCAUAAUGAGGCAUGGUCCACUCUUCUCAGAACUGUUCACAGUGUGAUGUAUACAUCUCCUGCAAUACUGCUAAAGGAGAUUAUUUUGGUGGAUGAUGCCAGCGUAGAUGAAUACUUGCAUGAUAAACUAGAUGAAUAUGUGAAACAAUUUCAAAUAGUUAAAGUAGUCCGUCAAAAGGAAAGAAAAGGUCUAAUCACUGCACGGUUGUUGGGAGCUUCGGUAGCAACAGGAGAGACCCUUACCUUUCUGGAUGCUCAUUGUGAAUGCUUCUAUGGCUGGUUGGAGCCAUUACUGGCAAGAAUAGCUGAGAACCCUGUAGCUGUUGUAAGCCCUGAUAUUGCUUCUAUAGAUCUCAACACUUUCGAAUUCAGUAAACCAUCUCCUUACGGGCAUAGCCACAACAGAGGAAAUUUUGAUUGGAGCUUGUCAUUUGGAUGGGAGUCUCUUCCUAAACAUGAAAAUAAAAGAAGAAAAGAUGAAACCUAUCCAAUUAGAACACCUACUUUUGCUGGAGGUCUCUUUUCAAUAUCAAAAGACUACUUCGAGCACAUUGGAAGCUAUGAUGAAGAAAUGGAAAUAUGGGGAGGUGAAAAUAUAGAAAUGUCUUUCAGAGUAUGGCAAUGUGGUGGACAGUUGGAGAUCAUGCCUUGCUCUGUUGUUGGCCAUGUCUUUCGCAGCAAGAGUCCCCAUACUUUCCCAAAAGGUACUCAAGUGAUCACACGUAAUCAAGUCCGCCUUGCAGAAGUGUGGAUGGAUGAAUAUAAAGAAAUAUUUUACCGAAGAAACACAGAGGCAGCAAAAAUUGUGAAACAAAAAACAUUUGGAGACAUCUCAAAAAGACUUGACUUAAGGCAGCGUCUACAGUGUAAAAAUUUUACCUGGUAUCUCAGUAAUAUUUAUCCAGAAGCAUAUGUGCCAGACCUGAAUCCUUUGUUUUCUGGAUAUUUAAAAAAUCUAGGUAACCGCAUGUGUCUGGAUGUUGGUGAAAAUAACCAUGGUGGCAAACCAUUGAUUAUGUAUUCUUGUCAUGGACUUGGAGGAAAUCAGGACUCGCACUGUCAAAGAAGAUGUUGGUGGGAAUCCAGCCAAUGGGAGAUCAAGUGGCCAGGCCUGAGCCACCUUCCCUGUCACGCUUGCAGCCUCAUAGUGGGAGGUCAAAGUGGCCUAUCCUGUACUGGCUAAUGCAAGUGAAUAAUAUGAUUGAAUUUGUCCGAGAAGAGCUCUCUUUGAUGCAUAGCUCUUGGAGGCAGCAAUGGUGCUCUGUUUCUUCUACAGUAUGACUUGCAAUAAAUAUCAGAUACUGAAUCCUUCAGUCACUACUGUAACAGUAGUAAAAGUAACAUCUCAUCUCCUUCCUUGCCCAGAAAUGAAUGCUUCUCUGUUGCCUUAAAGAGUUAUUUGUACUUUGAAUAUUCUGCACACCAUGAAAUUCGACAUAACAUUCAGAAGGAGCUUUGCCUAUAUGCUUCUAAAGGACCUGUGCAGCUUCAUGAAUGUAACUACAAAGGCCAGAAAACCUUUGCUGUUGGAGAAGAGCAAUGGCUGCAUCAAAAGGAUCAAACUCUGUACAAUGCAGCACUACAUAUGUGCCUUACAGGAAAUGGAGAGCAUCCGAGUUUGGCAUCCUGUAAUCCAUCAGACCCCUUCCAGAAAUGGAUCUUUGGCCAGACCAAUUAAGACUUGAUAUUUAUGGGCAGGAGCAUUUUAUUAAAAGAUCCGUUCUAAACUGUGAUUCAUAUAUGUAUACUGCAUUUUUAAGUGAUGCAAAAUGUUUAAACAGUUUCUUUUCCCUCUUAUUUAAGUUGGAUAUGAAAUGUGUCAUCACAGAUUCCCCAGGAGUCUGUUAUACCAAAGAUGAUGAGAUCCCAAUUAAGAAAAAUGUUUACAAUAUUUCUAUGAUAAGACUUUAUAUAUUGACCACUGAUUAUGGAUUCUAUUAGUCCUUUUUCACCCUUGGGACCAUAGGUAUAUUGUUUUUCUACAUAUUGUGAGUACUUCUGAGGAAGACUAGUUUUCUCUGUAGAGUUAUGAGAAAUUAUUGAAUACUGCUUAAAAACCAAGACACUUUAUGUAUAUUUUUAUGCUUAAUUGAUUAACUUUUUUUUUUUUUCCCCUUUAAUCAUUUACUCAGUGAACCUUUCUCAGUGUUUUUUAUGCUCCUUCACUUGAAAAUUAAAUAUUUCACCUUCAGGUUAAAGCCAAAUAGGCUACCACACUGUGCUCAGCUUUUAGCAAGUCAAUUCUUCAUUUGUAGAAGAAAAUAACAAUUCUCAAUGAAAUAUGUAUGAUUAUUUUCAUGGAGAAUUUGCUUAUUCUGAUAUUAAUCUCUUUUUGUUUAGCCAAAAUGUUUUGUAUAGGUCCUUUUGUAUUUCAUAAACUUUAAAAUUUAUGAAAAAGUUAUAUUGUAAUAGAUUUCUGAGCUGCUUAAGAUAAACACAUUUUCUCAGCA